GAUGAACGCUGGCGGCGUGCCUAAUACAUGCAAGUCGAGCGAACAGACGAGGAGCUUGCUCCUCUGACGUUAGCGGCGGACGGGUGAGUAACACGUGGAUAACCUACCUAUAAGACUGGGAUAACUUCGGGAAACCGGAGCUAAUACCGGAUAAUAUAUUGAACCGCAUGGUUCAAUAGUGAAAGACGGUUUUGCUGUCACUUAUAGAUGGAUCCGCGCCGCAUUAGCUAGUUGGUAAGGUAACGGCUUACCAAGGCAACGAUGCGUAGCCGACCUGAGAGGGUGGUAGGCCACACUGGAACUGAGACACGGUCCAGACUCCUACGGGAGGCAGCAGUAGGGAAUCGUCCGCAAUGGGCGAGAGCCUGACGGAGCAACGCCGAGUGAGUGAUGAAGGUCUUCGGAUCGUAAAACUCUGUUAUUAGGGAAGAACAAAUGUGUAAGUAACUAUGCACGUCUUGACGGUACCUAAUCAGAAAGCCACGGCUAACUACGUG
rnacentral:rRNA from 1 species